rnacentral:rRNA from 1 species
ACUCCUACGGGAGGCAGCAGUAGGGAAUAUUGGACAAUGGGUGCGAGUCUGAUCCAGCCAUGCCGCGUGCAGGAAGACGGCCUUCUGGGUUGUAAACUGCUUUUGCCAGGGGAUAAAAAGUCCCUGCGGGGAAGAUUGAAGGUACCUGGUGAAUAAGCCACGGCUAACUACGUGCCAGCAGCCGCGGUAAU